CCUCUCAUUGUCUGGUAUAUCUAGGAUCAUUUCUAGCCCUGGAAACAAUUGUCUCUCUGAUGCCCUUACAUUUGAUUUUAUUCACUGGUAUUGAACAUCAGCAUUUCAAAAUGCCUUCUUGAAGUGUGAGUCUUGUUUCUCUUGAUUUAAACUGGAAACGGAUCUGCUUCUUUGAUGGAUGCUUGCUGGUCUGGUGGGAUAGAUGAAGAGAACGGACCUACCAGAUGGAGGAGCAGAGCUUGAAAGCAGAACAGAGAUGGAGGAAUAAAACUUGAAAGCAGAACCAAGAUCCAUAUCACCACCCUAAAAAAAACUACUUUAAAAAACAAGUGAAGAAAAAAAAAAUCGUGACCUUGGACUCUUCCAAAAUGCCAAGAGGCAUUUCUUUGGGGUUGAGCACCUUAGAGGCAUCUGUGUGCUUUUUGUCGUCAUCACCAGGGCAGCGUGGCGUGUGGACAAGCCAACUGGUUGGUGCAUCUCAGUUGAGAUGGUGAUAUGACAAGGCCAUGGACAGGACUGACUGCCAGAAUUACUGUCACAAGGAAAUCUUGUGCCUCCUUGGAAAGCAAGGACUCAAAAUCAGAGGUGUUUGGCUUUCUAUAGAACUUCAAGAAGCUCUCCCCCAGUCAGUGGCAAGUUGGUACUCAUGCAGCUGGACACGUACCCCUAGACGCAGGGGUGUAUGCACACACAAGCACGUGUGCACUUCACUAUUUUGCUCAGUGUAUUUUGACCUUCAGCACCAAAGUAGGACUCACUUCUGACUACAGGAUUUAUGUCAAAGCUGGUAUAUCUUCAUCACUCACCAGGGCUUUUCAUUAGACAAAGGGGCUGUGUCACCUUUACUCUCUUUUCUUCUGAGUCUCCUUUCUAUCAUGAGCUUUUAGAGCUGCGAUAAACAGGAGUGAGCCAUACACAGCAUAAUGAUAACCCAGAUGACAGUGUCAAAUCUACAUUCACUCCAUGUGCAAGUGUUACUGAAGGAGAAGACACCAGGGAAGGGUGAGCAGAAGUGGCAAAAACAAAAGGGCAACUGCAAUGGAAAUGGGAUGAGGCUUACCCAAAUUCUGUUAAAGUAAUAAACCACUUUAUGAAAAAUAUACAUCAGAUUAGAGAGAUGCCUGAGACACAAUCCUAGACUUAUUUAAAAAACAAACAAACAAACAAAAAAUUUAUGGAAGUCAACUCAUCACCUCUGAAUGCUAUUUUCAAUGGCAAACCUCCCUGCAAUGACAUUUCUUGGUCUAGAGUCACAGUCUUGCAGACCCAAAGUCUGGAGCAAGGACCUGUUUGCCAAGAAAGAGGCCAGAGACAAGUCUGCUUGCUGAAAACAGGAACGCAAAAAAAUAAUAAAGACUUUAAAUUCAACAGCAGGUCAUGAAAUAAUACAUUUUCAAGGGAAAAGAAAUCACUGUCAUAUGUAAAAAUGUACUUCAUAAAAGGAGACGAGGAUGUGCCUUUGGCAGUUUAGAUGGGCCUGCACCUGGAAGACUUUCUGGGAUAUUGGUCUGUCCUUUCUUGAAAGACACUGAGAAAUGAAAGGGGAUCAAGAAAAGACAACUGCUAUACAAGGAAAGGACGAGCACUGUGGGCCCCCAAAGCCAGAGACCUUGUGGGUUUUGAGAAGUACCUCACAUUGUAGCUUGGGACAGAGCCCCUGUGAGGGUCAUAGUAAGGAGCUACUGCAUGUGCCUCACACUUGAGGAAAGAGGGAGAACAGGACCCAGCUUGCAAAGAGCCUCUGGGGGCAUCCUUCCCCAAGACAGGGAGAACAAGGACAGGAGACACCCAGGGAGAAGGCUGGCAUGACCUUGAUUUUGCAGCAGCACAGGCAUGAGAAUUUCCAUGGUGGAGUUUGAAAUACCUCUUGGUUUGCAUAGCGGAGAUAAAUUGCACUAAAUAGAAUGGGGAACAUGACGGUAAUUAACAGAAAUGAAAAGAUUUAGCUGUCCAAGUUGAAAGAGGUAGCUGGCCAGCAAAGGAAUGGCUGUAUGUCUGUUUGGAGGGUCGUGUAUCUCAGACACGCUCUGUAGUUGGUCUGCUGCCUUUUCAGUAAAGUCACAUUUGUCCUCCCACUGGGUCUGGCAGGAGCACCAAAGGCAGAAGCUUCUCAGACUUUCACUACCCAAAUUUUAUAGGAAGACGUAGUGAACACUACCUAGUCAUAUCAUACUAUAGGGACAGCCUAGGCUUAGAGACAGUUUUGCAAAAAAAAAAAAAAAGUAUAUAUAUAGUGUGUAUAUAUAUAUAUAUAUGAACUUGAAUCUCUCGUGUCUUCUGGAUGUGGAUAAGAGGGAGAAAACUGGUGACACCUAAACUCCCCAAACUACUUGACCAUGUAGCUACAGCUACAGCUUCCUGGGCUCCUCUUUCCAACUGCAGCAGCAUCAGUAAUCUUUUGCUAAUAUAUAUGGGUAUAAAAGUUUUUGAGAGAUCCCAGAACAGAAAGACUCUUACCUGUAUCUUUGUUUUCCUUCCUGUGUUAAUAAUAGCCACUAUAUUCCCAAUAAAAAUAUUCAGAGUA